rnacentral:rRNA from 1 species
UACGAAGGGAGCUAGCGUUGUUCGGAAUCACUGGGCGUAAAGCGCACGUAGGCGGAUGUGUCAGUCAGGGGUGAAAUCCCGGAGCUCAACUUCGGAACUGCCUUUGAUACAGCACAUCUGGAGUCCGGAAGAGGUGGGUGGAAUUCCUAGUGUAGAGGUGAAAUUCGUAGAUAUUAGGAAGAACACCGGUGGCGAAGGCGGGCUACUGGGCCGAUACUGACGCUGAUGCGCGAAAGCCAGGGGAGCAAACGGG